rnacentral:rRNA from 1 species
GGAGUUAGCCGGUGCUUCUUCUGUGAGUGAUGUCCUUCCUGCCGGCUAUUAACCCGCAGGCCUUCUUCCUCACUGAAAGUGCUUUACAACCCGAAGGCCUUCUUCACACACGCGGCAUGGCUGGAUCAGGGUUGCCCCCAUUGUCCAAUAUUCCCCACUGCUGCCUCCCGUAGGAGUCUGGGCCGUGUCUCAGUCCCAGUGUGGCUGAUCAUCCUCUCAGACCAGCUACGGAUCGUCGCCUUGGUGAGCCGUUACCUCACCAACCAGCUAAUCCGACAUAGGCUCAUCCGAUAGCGCGAGGCCCGAAGGUCCCCCGCUUUCCCCCGUAGGGCGUAUGCGGUAUUAGCCUGGGUUUCCCCAGGUUAUCCCCCACUACCCGGGCAGAUUCCUAUGCAUUACUCACCCGUCCGCCGCUCGCCACCAGGGAGCAAGCUCCCCGUGCUGCCGCUCGACUUGCAUGUGUUAGGCCUGCCGCCAGCGUUCAAUCUGAGCCAGAAUCAAACUCUGA